GAUGAACGCUGGCGGUAUGCUUAACACAUGCAAGUCGAACGGUCACUUCGGGAUCUAGUGGCGGACGGGUGAGUAACGCGUGAGAAUCUGCCUUUUGGACGGGGACAACCACUGGAAACGGUGGCUAAGACCGGAUAUGCCCUUGGGUGAAAUAUUAAUAGCCAAAAGAGGAGCUCGCGACCGAUUAGUUAGUUGGUGGGGUAAGAGCCUACCAAGACAGCGAUCGGUAGCCGGUUUGAGAGGACGACCGGCCACACUGGGACUGAGACACGGCCCAGACUCCUACGGGAGGCAGCAGUGGGGAAUUUUCCGCAAUGGGCGAAAGCCUGACGGAGCAAUACCGCGUGAGGGAGGAAGGCUCUUGGGUCGUAAACCUCUUUUCUCAAGGAAGAACGCAAUGACGGUACUUGAGGAAUCAGCAUCGGCUGACUCCGUGCCAGCAGCCGCGGUAAU
rnacentral:rRNA from 1 species